rnacentral:rRNA from 1 species
AGUGAACGCUGGCGGUAGGCCUAACACAUGCAAGUCGAACGGCAGCACAGUAAGAGCUUGCUCUUACGGGUGGCGAGUGGCGGACGGGUGAGGAAUACAUCGGAAUCUACUCUUUCGUGGGGGAUAACGUAGGGAAACUUACGCUAAUACCGCAUACGACCUACGGGUGAAAGCAGGGGAUCUUCGGACCUUGCGCGAUUGAAUGAGCCGAUGUCGGAUUAGCUAGUUGGCGGGGUAAAGGCCCACCAAGGCGGCGAUCCGUAGCUGGUCUGAGAGGAGGAUAGGCGGCACUGGAGGUGGGACACGGUCCAGGCUACUACGGGAGGCAGCAGUGGGGAAUGUUGGGCAGUGGGGGCAAGCCUGAUCCAGCCAGACCGAGUGGGUGAAGGAGACGUUGGGGUUGUAAAGCCCUUUUGUUGGGAGAGAAAAGCAGCAGGUUAAUACCCCGCUGUUCUGACGGUACCCAAAGAAUAAGCACCGGCUAACUUCGUG